GUAGAGUUUUAUUCUUGCUGUUCUGUUCAGUAUUUUCUUGUUUUAUAUGCAAGUUCUUGCGGGGUUUAUCUUGUAAUUUCUUGAUGGAUUACGAUUUUGUUUUUUAUUCGCAUUAUUUAUUUUUAUGAAUUUUGGUUUCUUUGAUUUAGCAAUGUUUUUAAGUGCCGGUUAAGUUUGUGCCAGCAGCCGCGGUUAUACAAUAGGUGCUAUUGAAUAUGGUUGGUUAUGCAGUUAUAUUUUCUUUUGUUGAUUUUAAUUGUUCUGUUUUGGUUAGGUGGAAUUUUUAUUUUGUGUUAUUAUUUUUAUUGGUUUAUGGAGGCUGUGAAAUCUUUCGUUUAAACUAGGAUUAGAUACCCUAUUAUUUUUGAUGUUAAAGUUAUUUUCCUGGGUAGUAUUAGAUAUGUUCUUGAAACCCAAAGAAUUUGGCGGUAUUUUGAACCUUUCAGAGGAAUCUGCCCCGUGAUCGAUAGUCCGCGUUGGACCUUACUUGAUAUUUGUUUGUAUACCGCCGUUAGUGGAAGAUCUUUUUAGUGUUUUAAUUUUCUUGUUUCGUUACUUCGAUUUAUUUCAGGUCAAGGUGCAAUUUGUUUUUAAGUGUGAGGUGGAUUACAAUGUGAUGUUGUUAUUUUGGAUUGUCAAUUGGAAUUAUUGGUAUGAAAUUGGAUUUGAUUGUAAUUAGUUGAAGAUUGUAUUUAUGAUUUUGGUUCUAGAAUAUGCACACAUCGCCCGUCGCUCUCAAUUAUUUGUUGAGAUAAGUCGUAACAUAGUGGUCUUACCGGAAGGUGUGGCUGGAUUGAU
rnacentral:ncRNA from 1 species